rnacentral:lncRNA from 1 species
GGCUGUCUGUGGCCUGCCUGCACACGGUCACCAUGUCAGCACCAAGAGAGACUCCAGGAAGCCUAGAGGACCAGUGAUAAAGACUCCGUGAGGCACAGGGGCCCCUCCUUCAGAAGGAAGCAGGCUUUCCUGAUGUUUGCCUUAACCUGACCUUACUGCACAUAACACAAAGAGGAGGAAGGGCCACCCUGCUCAUCUGACCAGGGCCGUGGAAACCCAGAGAGCACCGUGGCCUGUGCCUCUUCGGGCUGGAUGUUCACACCACACCACUGAGCAGUGCAGACCAGAGCAGAGUGAGCAGAGUGGAGGCAGUGCACCUGGAGGUCACAUUCACUUGCCUCCUGGCAGCCACCCCAGCUCCAGCUGUGUUGCCUCCCUCCCUCCCUCCCCUUCCUGUCCCUCUCUUCCUUUCCUCCCCCUCAGCCUCCUUCCCACCCUUUUUUUCUUUUGCUGGCUUCUGUUCUUUCUUUCCAUGAGCAGAGAGUUUCCAGGCUUGGCCCACAGCCAGCACAUGUGGACAAAAGACUUAGAGGGAGACGUCACCUUCCAUGCUGUCCACAGGGCCGGCACAGCCUAGUUAGUAAGGCUGCUCCCCUGGCUGGCUGCUCCCAAGGUUCUGGGAAAGGGGUGCUUUUAAUCCCUGCGAUUAAAUGCAGAGGAUCUGGAUGUUUCUGGACCCCAGGCUCUGAUUCCAAUGAACCUGAGAGCUGCAGGCCUUCUGGCAAGUUCUUCCCUAUGCCCCAGGCCUCUUGGUUUUACCAGCAAGUUUGCAAGACCUUGGAAAGGAUGACGUGAGGCUGCACCUGUGGGACACUCUGGCACAUUCUGGGAGAAGUGCUCAACAAAUGUCUGCUGAGAUUUUUUUAAAGUGAGUCUCACCCUGGCAAGUGAUACUAGCAUUGAUGAUGCAGGGUCCUGAAUUGAUAAGGACUGUGCACUCAACUCAUUUAGGGGGCUGAUUGUUCCCAAGUUCUCUGAAACCUAAAAUACUCUCUCACACCAGGCUGGGGGUGUGUAGUUCAAUGCUAGAGGGAGGACUUUCCUAACACUAACAAUGCCCUGGGAUAAAUCCCCAGUGCUGUAACCCUCACGCUCACACACCCACCAGCAAACUCUCAAGCAAAUGACCGAAGCAGCAACGUGAUCUGAGAACGUUUCGGUUAUUCCAAGAGCUGAGCCCCUUUCUUCUGCAGGAGAAGCAAGACACCCAGGACACGCUGACCCUCAGCCUCUGUUCGCCAGGGGUCACCGAGCCUGCUGUCUGUCCUGACCUCCCCAGCCAGAGCUAUUUUUCAGUUUCUUGUGGGCUAAGGCCCGGAUCUGUUUACUAUCUUAGCCUGGUGUAUUUGUACUCAAAAGUUUCGUAACGCCUGCGAGUAUGUUCUUCUUCACUGGCUAAAUUCUGAGAUAUGAAAAAUGGUCUUUCACCUACAAUUUAGUUAAUCUGAGGCAGCAUGAAUGGAUUUGAAAUUGACCAAUAAACUCAAUCACCAAGCA